UAAUAAAAAUUUUAUAAUUCAAUGUAUCAAAAUUAAAUUCCGUAUACAUCUUCACUCCAAAAUUUGGCAAAUAUGUCUAAUGUUAAAAAUGAUUCUGAAGGAAUUCUGGAUGUCGCUCGUAGAUAUAAUAGACCAAGGGUAUUUAUGUUUGUUGGAACAAUAGCCGCUAUGCGUUUCAUGGUAUAUUUAAUGCACAAAAUGAGAUCAUAAAGUGCUGAGUGCCAUCAAAAAGUUCCUUCCUCAAAAUUCAAAAUUUUACAGAAAAUAUCAGCAGUGAGAAGUGGAUGUCAAACAGAAGAUCCCUAAACAUACAACGAAGUUGAAAAUAUAUCUAUUUGUUAAGAAGAUUUCUCCUAUUAAAGAAUUGUCUUCAUCUGCAAUACGAUACUUUGAUAUAUAAUAAUUUUAUUAUAAAAUUAAACUGUGACCUUUUAGAUAUAGAUCCAACGGUUUUUAUUAUCAUAAGUAUCAUCAACUAUGUGUAUCUGAUGUAGGAGCAAGGAAAUAAAUGUUAUCUGUGAGGUCCAUGACUUAAGAGUAUUAUGAUAAUUUCUUCAAAUUAUCUUCAUUCAUAUAAAUAGUACACAGGACGUCAUCAAACACAAUUGCUGUAACAACUGCGUUGGAAGAGGAUCCUUUAAUUUGACUCUUUUGCUAUGUGGGGACUAGUCGAUAUCUCAAUCCUACAUGAAUGAAAGACACCUAUUGUGUUUAAUUUCUCAUUUUGUAAUUAGAAGUUAGUGAAACCAAUAAUUAUUAAACCAACAUUCAGCAACAUUAAACCAACAUUCAGCAGAAGUAGGAUGAGUGAACAUUCAACAUUCCAACAUUCAGCAAAUUGAAGUAGGAUGAGUGAGUUUCAUCUGUAUUUCAAUUACUUUAAAGGUUUUAGUUUAUAUAUCAUGUUUUAUAUGGAGAGGUGAAAAAUUUUUGAUGUGUCAGAAGCUAUGUCCUAAACAUUACGUUUGAAAGUAUGUCAACAAAAUCAAAUUUUUCUGGCAAUGUAAAAACAGAUGAGGAAAUAAAUUUAUAUCAAAGUUUCGAUUUCUGACACAAAUUUGUCGUUAAAACUUUGUUAUCAUGUUUCGGUACGCAGACAAUAAUAUGGACGAGUUCCGAGAAAAAGUAAAAAAGGAAGCAAGUGAGGAAGUAAAAAAGAAAAUAUAUCUAUUUAUUGGCAUGAUCGCCGCUAUUCGUAUUAUACCAUACUUUCUCCGAAAAAUGAAACUCUUGUGAAUGUGUAAGGAAUCGGACAGUUAAACCAUAAAACCACCAAAUUUCGACCAAUGGACUGCAUGAUUUUCAUCGGGGGCAAGGAAACUGGGGUAUUAUACUCUUUGCACAAGGACAUAAUUUCCGUAUGUGAAUAUACUUUGUCGUUUACAUUCUGAGAAGUUCUCCUAUUUAUUGCAAUUUGCUUGCUUAUUCUAUGAUGAAAAUCAAUAUGCUUGUUCCAAAAUCAAUAUGUUUGUAUUAAACUGUCCAGAUUCCACAGACGCAACUUCGGAUAACUAAGGAGUCAAGAGUAUGAAUGAAAACACCAAAUAUACGUCCUCAUUUGUUUAGACAACACACUUCUUUAUGCUUUUAUUCAAUAAACCAAAAUGUUCCAUUUA